AGCUAAAAAGCCCAGUGCAAUGCUCAGAAUCAAAUCUGACAAAACAAGAAAGCGGGAGAUGAUGGGAGCGAUCCACAAAGAGCUUAUGACGAUGGCAAGGAAACGAAAAGACGGCGUCUUUAAGGGCUUUAUCAAAAAAGUGAUCGGGAUGGUGAAGAAAAGGAAUCUUAAAGAAAUAACUUCAGGAGAGGAUCCUGUCGAAUUGAAAGUAGAACACGUCCAACAUGGAAUACAGGUCCAGUC